rnacentral:rRNA from 1 species
CUGCGGUGAAUACGUUCCCGGGCCUUGUACACACCGCCCGUCAAACCAUGGAAGUUGGGGGCACCCGAAGUCGCCGAUGAGGUGCCGAAGGUGAACCCAAUGACUGGGGUU